rnacentral:tRNA from 1 species
GCUAUUUUGGCAGAUAAGUGCGUUGGAUUUAGAAUCUUUUAAUGUAAAUUUUGUUUACAGAUAGUA